UGGUUUAAUUAGGACACAGAUUAAAUC
rnacentral:piRNA from 1 species